rnacentral:rRNA from 1 species
GAUGAACGCUGACAGAAUGCUUAACACAUGCAAGUCAACUUGGACUUCGGUUUGGGUGGCGGACGGGUGAGUAACGCGUAAAGAACUUGCCUCACAGAUAGGGACAACAUUUGGAAACGAAUGCUAAUACCUGAUAUUAUGAUUUUAGGGCAUCCUAGAAUUAUGAAAGCUAUAUGCGCUGUGAGAGAGCUUUGCGUCCCAUUAGCUAGUUGGAGAGGUAACGGCUCACCAAGGCGAUGAUGGGUAGCCGGCCUGAGAGGGUGAUCGGCCACAAGGGGACUGAGACACGGCCCUUACUCCUACGGGAGGCAGCAGUGGGGAAUAUUGGACAAUGGACCAAGAGUCUGAUCCAGCAAUUCUGUGUGCACGAUGAAGUUUUUCGGAAUGUAAAGUGCUUUCAGUUGGGAAGAAAAAAAUGACGGUACCAACAGAAGAAGUGACGGCUAAAUACGUGCCAGCAGCCGCGGUAAUACGUAUGUCACAAGCGUUAUCCGGAUUUAUUGGGCGUAAAGCGCGUCUAGGUGGUUAUAUAAGUCUGAUGUGAAAAUGCAGGGCUCCACUCUGUAUUGCGUUGGAAAACUGUGUAACUAGAGUACUGGAGAGGUAUUCGGAACUACAUGUGUAGAGGUGAAAUUUCGUAUAUAUUUUGAGGAAUGCCCCUGGGGAAGCCAGCCAAUGAAUUGAAUAAUGAUGCUGAAGCGAGAAAGC